GAUUCACCGGCAGCUGAUCUACGUUAACGGACUGCAUUUUGGCUAAAUUCUGUCAAUCCAGUUCGUUUUAAUCUCUCAAUAACUUGUCAUUUGUUAUGUGUUGUUUUGUUUUUUUAUCAGUCAACCACAAGCGCCGCUAUAAUAUAGAUGAUAAUGGUGUAUAUGUUAAUUUAACAUGGAUUUUAGUUCAUCAAAUACAAAUAAUUCUCUCAUAGUUGGGCCUAUCUGCCUAUUGUUAGCUGAUAAGAUUUUAGUUAUUUUUUAUGGCCGAAUUGGUGGUGAUUUCCUUAAGUGGUAUUCCACAGGCUGUCAACGUCAUACCAUAGCACUUAUCUUGAUUCAAGGAGGCUGAACCAUGCCUAAUUACUAGAUAUGCGAUUAUAAAGUCUGUGUGCAUAAUCAUAAUCAUGGUUCAAUUUUAAGAAUUUUUUAUUUUUGACUUUAUGGUCGAAUGCGUCGGCAUUGUGAGCACAAAUUUAAGGGAUCGUACCCCUGUGAAGAUGGAUAUCAACUUAUAGAAAUAAGUUACAAAAUAUACUCUUAAAGAAGUCCAGGGAUUUGAGCCCGAUUUUCUUUGGUUGUUCGUUGUUGUAAGGAAUAUUUCUCACUUGGCGUUCAGCUUUUAAUCACAUUGAGCUUUGUGUUCAAUUAUAUUCUUUUUAUAACUUAUAACACCUUUAUCAAUAUUAAGCAAGAGCACGCAAUACACUAUCUCGUUUAUAAAGUAUUUUUAUAGAGGUGACUUCACACCUAACACGGACAAGGACGAAACGCGUUGGACUCACAAAAUGGGGCACUGGAACCGGCUGGCAGCGUCGCGUCCAGAUCUGUAACUGGGCUCUUGGCCAGAUGUGAGACGCACUUUUAUAGCCAGCGAUUAGUCCAGUAACAAACGGCUUUAUCAGCGCUCGACUUCGUAUUCGUGAUGUGAUCGAGGCAGUGUCUGCUGAUAAGAGUGCGAACUGACAAAUUCUGAAUGAAAAUGAACGUUAGCCAAAAUGUUGAUAAAACGAGCUAUCAGAAUGCAAAAUGCUGCAACUGCUACGUUGUUGACAGUUAUCAGAGGCUUCCCCGACAGAAGCUCAAAUUUCACUUGUGUGUUUUUUAUUGAAUUUUCGUAGCAGCGCGCCUUUGUAAAUAAACAAACAUCGUUUUUGGGCUAACAAAUGCCAAAGCUUUGCUUAUCUAUA